AGGACCAAAGAAAUCACAGAAAUGCUAGGGAUAAUUUUUCAGAUUUUACAAUCUAUCUUUCUGCAUGAAAUACGGGGAUCCCUUGCUGGAUCAUAUAUACAUAUCUCAAUAUCAGAGGAAAGAUGGUUUUAAUUUGAACACAGGAAUUGGUGGAAGAAAACUUGACAUCUGUUUGCAACUCUGACCCUAUGGAUGUGGGUAAAUUUUUUACAGUAUAGAACAUCUUUCAUGGAAGCAGAUGCUGAACAGACCUCUACACUUCAGCUUGAAACAUCACUGAAGAUGGUAGAACAGAAAAUCUUUGAAGCAAUGCGACAGAUUUAUAAAGAGAAUCUUUCAUAUUCGCCACGCUCACAACAGCAGAAAUCACAACUGUUCAGUAAACAUUUAAGAGAAGAGGUCUGAAAUGUGUAAGAGGAAACAUUUGCACGUAAUCUUAUCAUUAAAUAAUAUAAUUCUGUCUCAAGAUACUGCCAAUGCUAGAGGUUUAGAAAAGAGAACAAACAAAAACACAUGCAAAAGUAGCUUUUAAAAAGGAGGCCGGGCUCGGAUUUGUGGAGGCCGUGUCCACCUGCAAACAAAAUAUUGUGCACCCUGUAUGUCUGUGCGCUGUGUAACUGAAAGGGCUGGUAGGCUUGGGUUGCUUUGUGCCUUAUUCGUGCUUAUUUAUAUAUUUAUUGAUUUCACUGAACAAAGUGAUGAUGUAGUCUGUCAUUUACAGUGACGACCCCUAACUGUUUUCUCUUGCUGCACCCCACAGACCCUCGCUAGGA